AGUGCCGUAUUGUUGAGUUUUGUAUGAACUAAUCUUGCUUCAGUCACAAAAAAAGAAAAGAAAGAAAGACCUACGGCUUGGACAAAAAAGUCUAUAGCCCAGUGCAUUCCCAGCUCCCUGUACACUCAGUCACAGACAGGCAGAGCGAGGAAACGCUAGUACUGGUGCUCGGGCUCUCCUCUGGUUCUCCUUGGCUUACUGUUCUGAUCCUUGGAGGUGUGUGUGUGCAAGUGUACGUUUAGGCCUUGAGAAAGAAAGCAGUAGCUGGAAAGAUGCGCGCAGAGAGAGAAUGAGAAAGCGAAAGAGAGAGGAAGCGGAGAGAAGCGGAGAGAGAGCGGGCAGCGGAGCGCGGCUUGGCCGGGAGAGGAGCACCGGAGGGCGGCUACGGCUCACAGGAUUCCCCGUUGUACCAGUGGAGGAUGUUUAAUGGAUGCUCCGUGCUGACGGACUGAGUGAUUGCAGCGCUUAAAAGUUUUUGAGAAGAAUAGAAAACAUUGAAGACGCGCGAGACCAGGUCACUACAGUCUCGAUUAGACCCGGAUGCAGAAACGGUGCUGCAGCUGAUUUACCUGCAACAGGUGGUGAGCGCGUGGCUUUUACUAAAAUACCUCAUCAUGGCUUUUAUCCGAGCGCCAUUUGCUAUUUGUUUUAAAGAAAAGAAACAAAGUAAAAGAGAAGUGUAUUUGUGUGAUGUGUGGUGAGAUUUUAAAGGCCUUGUGAUCAUGGAUGAAAUUUUGCGCAAAAUGUUAAGUGCAAUGUUUGAAAAGUUGUGGAUGCUAUUAGGGGGCGGGGCUUAGCGGCGUCGCGUUUUAAUACCGUUUCAUGCCUCCUUUUUUCUUUUUUUGCGUGAUCCUUUUUAUAUGUUAAGAUGUAAACACAGCUUUGCGUUUGUCCACUUUUCUCAAAGGUGGAUUUAUUUAGCAUGCGAAAAAAAUGUAGUGUGAAUUUUUUUAAAUGAAUUUUUAAUGUUAUUUACAAGUCUUUAAAAAUAAUUAGAUCACAUAUUUAUUAUUGGUUGUAUUCAAAGAAAAAAUGUAAGUUAAUAGUUUGUUACCUUUAUUUUAUUACUGCACUAGAUUGGGUUAAAAUAGGACAAAUUAUUAUUAUUAUUAUUAUUAUUAUUAUUAUUAUUAUUAUUAUUGUUGUUGUUGUUGUUGUUGUUGUUGUUGUUGUUGUUGUAGCUCUAAUUCUUGCUUUUGUUUUUUUUUUCUUUUAAAAUCAUUUAGCAAAUUGUUUAAUAUUUUGCUUUUGUUGUUUAGUAAUAGGCUAUUGUUGUUUGCUGUUUCUGAGAGCCUGGUGUGUUUGUGUGUGUGUGUGUGUGUGUGUGUGUGUGUGUGUGUGUGUGUGUAUGUGUAUGAGCAGGAAAAAGGAGGGAAGCAACUUGAGAAACUAGGCUAAUGAUUUUCUUCUUCCCUGCACUCCCUCCCCUCCUUUUACCUGCCCCCUCUUGGGCGAGGGGCAGUUGAUGUGGUGGGAGGGGCAGUUAGUGGGGUUAAGGUUAGUGAUUACUGCGGUUGAUGGGGUGGUUAGCAGGGUGAGGGGCAGAAAGUGGGGUGAGGGGGUAGCUAGUUGGGUGGAGGGGGUGGAUAGAUUUUGAAUGCUUAUUCCGGUUAGUGAGGGUAAUUUGUGUGGAGGUGGGUGGCAGUUGGGGGGAGGGGGGGUAUUCAGUGAGCUUGGAUGGAUAGAUUUUUGGGUCUCCAAAAUGCCUUGUGUGUGUGUGUGUGUGUGUGUGUGUGUGUGUGUGUGUGUGUGUGUGUGUGUGUGUUAAUCAUGACAGUUACUGAAUAGAUGAUAUAAUCAUGAUGAUAAAAAUUUCUUACAAUAUUCUCCAGGUUUAAAAAAAAAAAAAAAAAAAAAAAAAGGAUUGGUAAAAGGAUUAAAUGGAAGCAAUUUUUAAAAACUUGAAAUGUACGGAUAAAAAUGCAAUAAAUAUAUUUUUAAAAUUAAAUAUUACACUAAGACAUUCAGAUAGAUGUUAAUAUGUUACAGUAAUUAGAGAUGAGUGUAGUAAAAUAUUUAUUUAUUUACUCUUCUGUCUCACCCUUGAUGCAUUUUGCUGAUUGUGAUUUAAAUAAAUUUGGGUUGCUAAUUAUUUUCUUUAAUUUCUUCACUUUUCUUUUUGCUAUUAUUUAUUUAAUGGUUCAUCUCUGUUCUCACCUCUUUGACCCAUGUCACCACGCAUUUAAACACACAAACCCUUUUUGUGUUUUAUUUUUUCAUUCAUGUGAUAUUAAUGGCAUUAUGGCAGUCCAGUGUAUAACACACACACACACACACACACACACACACACACACACACACACACACACACGCGCGCGCGCACAUACCUUCUGUACCUCUCCUCUUUAAUUCCCUCCAUCACAGUGUAAAUCUGCGUCUCUUAAUUAUUUAAUCAGGUCAAAAACACUUUCCUUUCUGUUAACACAUGACAAUACGAAUCAGAUUACUUCCAGAUUUCAGGAAUUUUUCAUUGGACGUGAGCAGCAAAAAAAGUCUUUAUUUAAAUGUUUUUUUCUGCAUUAAUAUUAUUUAUUUUUGUUGUUAUCAACAUGUACUUCACAAUUUGCUUCCUUUACAUUGGACAUAACAGAAUUUGAGCUCUGAUACUGAUUUUCAACAUAAAAAAGUAAAAUAUUGAGCUCUUUUUAGCUCAGAUUGUAAGUUAACACCCCCAUCCCAUUUAUUUUCAUUAUUUAACCAAAGUUGUUGUGAUUUUGUGAUUAAAAUGCAGUUUAAUAGUUAUGUUGUCAAAUAUAAAAGAUUUUAAUUAUA